GAUGAACGCUGGCGGCGUGCCUAAUACAUGCAAGUCGAGCGAACAGACGAGGAGCUUGCUCCUCUGACGUUAGCGGCGGACGGGUGAGUAACACGUGGAUAACCUACCUAUAAGACUGGGAUAACUUCGGGAAACCGGAGCUAAUACCGGAUAAUAUAUUGAACCGCAUGGUUCAAUAGUGAAAGACGGUUUUGCUGUCACUUAUAGAUGGAUCCGCGCCGCAUUAGCUAGUUGGUAAGGUGACGGCUUACCAAGGCAACGAUGCGUAGCCGACCUGAGAGGGUGAUCGGCCACACUGGAACUGAGACACGAUCCAGACUCCUACGGGAGGCAGCAGUAGGGAAUCUUCCGCAAUGGGCGAAAGCCUGACGGAGCAACGCCGCGUGAGUGAUGAAGGUCUUCGGAUCGUAAAACUCUGUUAUUAGGGAAGAACAAAUGUGUAAGUAACUAUGCACGUCUUGACGGUACCUAAUCAGAAAGCCACGGCUAACUACGUG
rnacentral:rRNA from 1 species